rnacentral:lncRNA from 12 species
AUGCAAUGCACCAUGAAGGAGGACCUGGAGACCCUGCUGGCCUCGGAACAGGCCAAUAUAAUAGCCAAGUACCAUCAAGGUGAGGCCCAGAGAGCGCGCAGAGAUGCUGGAGCGCCCACUAGAGGUGAGGACCAAUACCUGCAAGAGCAAGUGAGGCCUAGCUGGGCAUCAGAGCCAAGGAUGAGCCAGGUCAGCCGGAACAAGGACCACAGUCAUCUGGAACAAGUGAGACCCGGGGGACAUUCUGGGGCAUCAGGAGGAAGUGAUGGGAUCGUAGUGAUCGGCAGCGGUAGAGUCCAGGUGGGAUCACAGGCAGAGUAGCAGGUGAAGCCCAGGUGGGGAUCAUAGUCACCAGGUCCAGGUGAGGCCCAGGCAGGCUUCACAGCCAGGGAUGACGUGUAGGGCCCAGUGGGAAUGAUCAGCGGCAAAGGCAGUUAUGUACCAGGCGGGGAUCAUAGCCAGAGUCCUGCAGAUGAGACCCAAGUGGGUUUUGUGGCCAGUAGGAGCAGGUGAAGGCCAGACGGGGAUCAUGGUCCACAGGAGCGCCUGAUGUCCAGGUGGGUGUUUUAGCUGCCAAGUAUAGGUGGGACCCACUCAGGGAUCCUAGUCUAAGCCGAGCAGGUAGGGCCCAGGCAGGAAUGAAGACAAGAGGAUGGGCUCAGGCAGGGUGUGUAGGCAUCAGGGGCAAAUGAAGCACGACAGUGAUCACACAGCGGGUGCAGGGGAGGCCGGGGGGGGAUCGUCGCUGGUCGAAGCAGGUGAGGCUGUCGGGCUGCUCCCAUUGGACAGACAGGCCCUUCCUGUCGUGGGGGGCCAAUCUCAGAGGGUUCUGGGAGCCCGCGGUACUCCGGGAAGAGAGGAGCCACUCAGCUUCCAGCCCCAUGUUCCUGGAUCUGAUUGGUCCCCACCACGGGGCCCCUCUGGUGCAGGCACGCCAAGCAGAGUCUCCACGGGGCCCUUGGGACGACGCUGACCUCUCGCUGUGCAGAGUCACGGACCAUCACGGCUCUCUGCACAGUGCCCUGGACACGCCUUCAUCCCUCUCAGGGGUGGUUUGCGUUUGCAGGAACGUCUUUCUGGAGGCUGACCCAUCCCCCAGGUCAGGGUCUCGGCCUUGAGGCCUCUGAGAGCCAUGUCUGCGCUUGGCUGGUGCUGAGACACCAGGAGACACAGCGGGGACGUGGGCAAGAAGGAGCUGACCUUGGGGGAGGCCACAGGGCCCUCAGAGGAGUGGCGUCCAGCCUGUUUGGGGGAGAGCCUCGUGGCUGCAUUCAUCGGGGUGUCCAGUCAGGUCAGCGGGGGCUGCAGGGGGUGAGGAGCU